UACAUUAUAACUGAAUAAAAAUAAGAUUUCAUUUGGGAAAUUUUAUGUUCUCUCCAAACUUGCAUGUGUAUACACAUACAGAUAUAGCAUACAUGUGCGCUGGAUGGCGGUGUGAGGUGUACCUCUUCCUGUGAGAAGAGAAAAUCCUGUCAUCUUGAAGAGGCUUUUGUCUCUCCAUGGGCAGCCACCAGCAGGAGACAUGUCUGAUGUGACAGCAGGACCUUGACAGGGUGGCUGGAGCAUGGCCUGGAAGCAGCUGUGUGCCCGCUGAAUGCUCUGCCAGUCCCUCCAGCAAAAGACUGACCCUGUUCCAAGGGAAGCCAGCCCUGGUUGUGCAUGGGAAAAGUAGUCCCCUGGGGAGCUGUGGCUGGGAGUGAUGAAUCCAUCCCUAGUGCUUUGAAUGGACAGAAGGAGAUUAGACUGGGGGGUGGGGGGCAUUACCCACCCACAUGGACCUCAGCAAUCCCCUCCUCUGGAUUCUGACUGUUGUAGCAGAUGAUAGAAAACUCAUAAUCUACACAGAGUACACUCAGCUUUGUGAAGAUAAGGAGUGGAGAUGCUGGUGCAGGGUGGGAUCCCAAAG
rnacentral:lncRNA from 1 species